ACAGACGCUAUCCCUACGUCACCCUCUUUUGUUGCUGUGCUCGCCGUGGAUGUGUCCGUGCGCGCACAGAUGGGGUAACGCUUUCUGGCAGCACCUCAAGACGAAAGAGGGGAGAAGACGCACGAAAGAGAACACACAUAGGAGGAAAGCAAUGGAAUGGACUCUCACUUACGCACGCACACACUCACGUGUGUAUCAACUGUGAGCGAAGAGAGUCACGAGGACGGGUCAUUGAAAAGGAAAACAACGGCUUGUAAAGAGCAGGAAAUGGUGUAUCAAUCAACGGCAAUAACCUGUGUCUUUGGCGGACCGCGUUUACUCUCCCAAUACGUCCCUUGUACGUCACUUUUUCCUUUAUUUGCAUGCCGGUGUGUCUGUGUGUGUGUGUGUGUGUGUGUGUGUGCGGGGGUGACGUCAUGUUCACCUGCCCCCACCCCACCCGCGCGAGCUUCUAUGUGGGUAUGCUUGCAAGACUGUGGGCGCUGCACUAUCCUCCUCUAUGCUUUACUAUGAAGACGAGUAGCCGCCCCGCACCAGCACCGCCACCACCCCGUUGCACAUGCUGCUUUGCUUAUAUAUAUAAGGCUCCCCCUCCCCUCCCCUGUGCUGCUUUAGUGUGUGGUUUUCUCUUCACAAAUGAGCGUCUGUCAUAAGCAUCGUAGGUGCUGUGUGCAACGCCGGAAAGAGCGCUAUUACAUGACGUAACCGCCAUCUCAUCCUCGCUCUGUAUCCCCACCCCCCUCCCUCCCUCCCUCCCCAUCUCUCUUCGUCUCUGACGACGUGGGACACCUCAGCGUGUGGUAUCUCAGGAUCCAGUGUCCUCACUCUGUGUGUAGGGAGGCCAAGCAGCACCCCCGCUCCCUUUCCCUGCCUAAAUGCGGAGCCACCUCUGUUGGUGACAGGGUCGUGCGCCUGCGGCGUCGGGCGAGGUCGGAGCGAUGUGUCGCUGCUGAUGUUGGCGGCUAGGUUCUGGAUGGCGGGGUGUCGGAGCGAGCUGCGACAGUAAGCACAUCUGUACCAUCCAUAUGAUAGGUAAAGUGUCCAAGUGGAUCGAACGUAUUCCACCCCCGGUCCUCACUGCCUGCUGGUGAUGGGGAGCCUGCGCCACGGCGGGUGGGCAGAGUUUGAGGCAGGGGCCGUGCUCAGCCGACGGAGUCGGUGCGCUGCUGUACCGCGUGUCUGCAGCUGCUUCACACCACGCCGACAGGGGCCUGUGACAGGCCGGGGGUAGAGUAGUGUUUGACUCAUGCUGUAUGGCAGAGAAUGGAUGCGUUGGGAAAAAAGCGAAGAGGAGUGCAUUGUUGGACAAGCGGUUCCAGCUCUCGCCCUUCCUUGUGUCUGUGGAUGUCUGUGUCCGAAUAAAGGACCGAGCGUAGAACGUGGUUUAUCUUGCUGAUGAGUCGCUUCUUCUGGGUAGUGAAUAAUGCUAACAGAAGAGAGUGGAAGUACCGACAUAG
rnacentral:misc_RNA from 1 species